rnacentral:rRNA from 1 species
UACGAAGGGGGCUAGCGUUGCUCGGAAUCACUGGGCGUAAAGCGCACGUAGGCGGAUUGCUAAGUCAGGGGUGAAAUCCUGGAGCUCAACUCCAGAACUGCCUUUGAUACUGGCGACCUUGAGUCCGGGAGAGGUGAGUGGAACUGCGAGUGUAGAGGUGAAAUUCGUAGAUAUUCGGAAGAACACCAGUGGCGAAGGCGACUCACUGGACAUGUAUUGACGCUGAGGUGCGAAAGCGUGGGGAGCAAACAGG